rnacentral:rRNA from 1 species
GACGAACGCUGGCGGCGUGCUUAACACAUGCAAGUCGAACGGGAUCAUUCAGAUAGCUUGCUAACUGGAUGUGAGAGUGGCGAACGGGUGAGUAACGCGUAGGUAACCAACCUUGUACUGGGGGAUAGCCCCGUGAAAACGGGAUUAAUACCGCAUAAGACCACACUACCGCAUGGUAGAGGGGUAAAAACUUUGGUGGUACAAGACGGACCUGCGUCUUAUUAGCUAGUUGGUGAGGUAAUGGCUCACCAAGGCGACGAUGAGUAGCCGACCUGAGAGGGUGAUCGGCCACACUGGGACUGAGACACGGCCCAGACUCCUACGGGAGGCAGCAGUGGGGAAUAUUGCGCAAUGGGGGAAACCCUGACGCAGCAACGCCGCGUGAGUGAUGAAGGUUUUCGGAUCGUAAAACUCUGUCUUUGGGGGAAGAUAAUGACGGUACCCAAGGAGGAAGCCCCCGGCUAACUACGUGCCAGCAGCCGCGGUAAU